UCAGGAGUGUGUGACUAUCGAGGGCCCCGACACCGUCGUCCUGAAGGCUCCCAGGAGCUGUCAAUCAAACCGACCGAGCGAGAGGUCCCUCCCACAAACGGCUCAGAAGUUCAGCUUCACACAGGUGUUCGGUCCGGAGGCCAGUCAGAGGAAGGUGUUUGAGGGUUCAGUUCGCGGUUUGGUCCGAGACGUUCUGGAUGGAGGAAACUGUCUCGUGUUCACCUACGGAGUCACCAACGCUGGAAAGACUUUCACAUUCCUGGGUCCGGAUCACGACAGCGGCCUGUUGCCCAGGUCCCUGUCGGUCAUCUUCAACAGUAUCGAAGGUCGUCUGUACGGUCGUAACGAUCUGAAGCCUCAGCGCUGCAGAGACUUCAGCAGACUGACCCCAGACCAGCAGGCAGCAGAGAGCAGCAGCAAGAAGAACCUGCUGAGGCUCCUCAAAGAGAGCGACAAAAGUCUGACGGCCGGAAGAUCCACUUUCCUCGACGGUCAGUGACGUUCUCUGAAGGUUCCUGAAAUAUG